AAAUUGAUUUUAGGUGUGUUACAACUUCAAAAUCUUUGUCCAAUGUGUAUGGCUCCUGUUACCCUACGUAUAGUGUGUAUACAGCGGGUUUCCAUUGGUGGGUGGGUGAGUGAGUAAGUGAGUGAGUGACUGAUCGGCAGCCGCCCUAGAAAAUGACUCAACUACACUAUUAGCAGUUGACUGAGAGACGAUCUCGCUGUUGGAUUCCUCAGUAAUUGCUUCAAAGCCCUCUGGCAUGCUUUGUCUCGGGCAGACAGACCUUCAUUCCCUUUACGCCGAAUGGCGCCGCUAACCUGAGCACGAACCUACACUCAAACGAAAAGCCCGGGCUCAGUUCUCUUCGUACACAUUCGAGCGCUGAGGUUCUACAUACAAGGUAUCCUUACUAUAUACACAGCACAUUGAUCUCAAGCCAACAUCAUCAGA